GGGCCCGCACAAGCGGUGGAGCAUGUGGUUUAAUUCGAUGAUACGCGAGGAACCUUACCAGGACUUAAAUGCAUAACGAUCGGUUGAGAAAUCAACUUUUCUUCGGACGGUAUGCAAGGUGCUGCAUGGUUGUCGUCAGCUCGUGCCGUGAGGUGUCAGGUUAAGUCCUAUAACGAGCGCAACCCCUAUUCUUAGUUGCCAGCGGAUAAUGCCGGGGACUCUAAGAAAACUGCCAGCGCAAGCUGUGAGGAAGGUGGGGAUGACGUCAAAUCAUCACGGCCCUUACGUCCUGGGCCACACACGUGCUACAAUGGUAGGUACAAAGGGCAGCCACUUGGCGACAAGGAGCUAAUCUCUAAAACCUAUCUCAGUUCGGAUUGGAGUCUGCAACUCGACUCUAUGAAGCUGGAAUCGCUAGUAAUCGCGCAU
rnacentral:rRNA from 1 species